rnacentral:rRNA from 1 species
UAUGCCGUGGCUCAGUUCAGAUCGUAUGCUGCCACUCUCCUACGUGAUGGAGGAAUCGCUAGUAGUCAUCAGGUCAUCAUACUGCGGUGAAUACGUUCCCGGGCCUUGUAGCUCCGCCCGUCACACCGUGGAAGUUGGCCACUCCCGAAGCCGUUACUCCCACCCUUGUGGAGGAUGACGUCUAAGGUGGGGCUGAUGACUGGGGUGAAGUCUUAACUGGGUAUCCCUACCUGACGGUGCGGAUGGAUCACCUCCUGUCA